rnacentral:tRNA from 1 species
GGAGAGGUGGCAGAGUGGUCGAAUGCGCCUGACUCGAAAUCAGGUUCGGUGCAAGCCGACGGGGGUUCGAAUCCCCCCCUCUCCG